rnacentral:rRNA from 1 species
GAUGAACGCUGGCGGCGUGCCUAAUACAUGCAAGUCGAGCGAACAGACGAGGAGCUUGCUCCUCUGACGUUAGCGGCGGACGGGUGAGUAACACGUGGAUAACCUACCUAUAAGACUGGGAUAACUUCGGGAAACCGGAGCUAAUACCGGAUAAUAUAUUGAACCGCAUGGUUCAAUAGUGAAAGACGGUUUUGCUGUCACUUAUAGAUGGAUCCGCGCCGCAUUAGCUAGUUGGUAAGGUAACGGCUUACCAAGGCGACGAUGCGUAGCCGACCUGAGAGGGUGAUCGGCCACACUGGAACUGAGACACGGUCCAGACUCCUACGGGAGGCAGCAGUAGGGAAUCUUCCGCAAUGGGCGAAAGCCUGACGGAGCAACGCCGCGUGAGUGAUGAAGGUCUUCGGAUCGUAAAACUCUGCUAUUAGGGAAGAACAAAUGUGUAAGUAACUAUGCACGUCUUGACGGUAUCUAAUCAGAAAGCCACGGCUAACUACGUG